AUUGAACGCUGGCGGCAGGCCUAACACAUGCAAGUCGAACGAGCGGCGGACGGGUGAGUAAUGUAUGGGGAUCUGCCUGAUGGAGGGGGAUAACUACUGGAAACGGUAGCUAAUACCGCAUACUAUCGGAUGUACCCAUAUGGGAUUAGCUAGUAGGUGGGGUAAAGGCUCACCUAGGCGACGAUCCCUAGCUGGUCUGAGAGGAUGAUCAGCCACACUGGGACUGAGACACGGCCCAGACUCCUACGGGAGGCAGCAGUGGGGAAUAUUGGACAAUGGGCGCAAGCCUGAGGCAGCCAUGCCGCGUGUAUGAAGAAGGCCUUCGGGUUGUAAAGUACUUUCAGCGGGGAGGCGGUACCCGCAGAAGAAGCACCGGCUAACUCCGUGCCAGCAGCCGCGGUAAUUC
rnacentral:rRNA from 1 species